rnacentral:rRNA from 1 species
UACGUAGGGUGCGAGCGUUGUCCGGAAUUAUUGGGCGUAAAGAGCUUGUAGGCGGUUUGUCGCGUCUGCUGUGAAAAUCCGGGGCUCAACCCCGGACUUGCAGUGGGUACGGGCAGACUAGUUCGGUAGGGGAGACUGGAAUUCCUGGUGUAGCGGUGAAAUGCGCAGAUAUCAGGAGGAACACCGAUGGCGAAGGCAGGUCUCUGGGCCGAUACUGACGCUGAGGAGCGAAAGCGUGGGGAGCGAACAGG